UGGCGGCGUGCUUAACACAUGCAAGUCGAACGAUGAAGCCUUUCGGGGUGGAUUAAGUGGCGAACGGGUGAGUAACACGUGGGCAAUCUGCCCUUCACUCUGGGACAAGCCCUGGAAACGGGGUCUAAUACCGGAUAACACUCUGUCCCGCAUGGGACGGGGUUGAAAGCUCCGGCGGUGAAGGAUGAGCCCGCGGCCUAUCAGCUUGUUGGUGGGGUAAUGGCCUACCAAGGCGACGACGGGUAGCCGGCCUGAGAGGGCGACCGGCCACACUGGGACUGAGACACGGCCCAGACUCCUACGGGAGGCAGCAGUGGGGAAUAUUGCACAAUGGGCGAAAGCCUGAUGCAGCGACGCCGCGUGAGGGAUGACGGCCUUCGGGUUGUAAACCUCUUUCAGCAGGGAAGAAGCGAAAGUGACGGUACCUGCAGAAGAAGCGCCGCUAACUACGUGCCAGCAGCCGCGGUAAUACGUAGGGCGCAAGCGUUGUC
rnacentral:rRNA from 1 species